CAAAAUGUAGCUUAACCUUAAAGCUCCUCGCUUACACCGAGGCAAUACCUGUUCAAUUCAGGUCAUUUUGA
rnacentral:tRNA from 1 species